UGGCCUCAGGACGAACGCUGGCGGCGCUGCAUUAACACAUGCAAGUGGAGCGACGAACCAGGGCUUGCCCUGGGGCAGAGCCGCGAACGGGUGAGUAACACGUGGGUAACCUACCCCAAUGACCGGGACAACCCGAGGAAACUCGGGCUAAUACCGGAUGUUCUGCACUCUCGUAAGGGAGUUCAGCAAAGAUAGCCUCGGCUUUCGCAUUGGGACGGGCCCGCGGCCCAUUAGCUUGUUGGUGAGGUAACGGCUCACCAAGGCUUCGAUGGGUAGCUGGUCUGAGAGGACGAUCAGCCACACUGGGACUGAGACACGGCCCAGACUCCUACGGGAGGCAGCAGUGGGGAAUCUUGCGCAAUGGGCGAAAGCCUGACGCAGCAACGCCGCGUGGGGGAAGAAGGUCUUCGGGUUGUAAACCCCUUUCAGUUGGGACGAAGCUUCGUCGGUUAAUAGCCGGCUGGAGUGACGGUACCUUCAGAAGAAGCCCCGGCUAACUACGUGCCAGCAGCCGCGGUAAUACGUAGGGGGCUAGCGUUGUCCGGAAUCAUUGGGCGUAAAGCGCGUGUAGGCGGUCCGGUAAGUCCGCUGUGAAAGUCGGGGGCUCAACCCUCGGAUGCCGGUGGAUACUGUCGGGCUUGAGUACGGAAGAGGCGAGUGGAAUUCCUGGUGUAGCGGUGAAAUGCGCAGAUAUCAGGAGGAACACCAAUUGCGAAGGCAGCUCGCUGGGACGUUACUGACGCUGAGACGCGAAAGCGUGGGGAGCAAACAGGAUUAGGUACCCCUGGUAGUCCACGCUGUAAACGAUGGGCACUAGGUGUGGGGGGUGUCGACUCCCUCCGUGCCGAAGCUAACGCAUUA
rnacentral:rRNA from 1 species